UUUUUUUUUUUUUUGUCAAGCCAGCUGGGCCCUCAGCAGAACUCUAAAAUUCUAAAAGCAGAUUUUUUCAAAUAAUUUAUCUUUUGACAGAGUAGAUGAGAGCACAGUCAUGAAAAUGUUUGUGCAACAUCCCUGGCCAUAUUGCUGUGGCCUGUUUCUAGCAGCAGAAUAUUCCCUUGUUCAUCUCUGAAUCCCAGAAUACCCACAUGGAACGACCAGAGGCGAGGCUGCAACUUCUUCACUUUCCUCUCUCCCUCUUUUAAAAUUGAAAUCUGCUUUCCUAAUCCUGGCACAAGCUAACCAGAAUAGAAAUGCAGGAAGUAGGAGGCUUUAAAAAACCACUGCAUGAUGUUACCUUGUUACCUUUGUGUGUGAAAAUGAUUAAUUAUCCUUGUAAUAGAAUUUUAAAAGUGUCCCCAUGUAUAAUUGGCAGUAGUUAGCUGGAGAUUCAAAUGCUCUGUUGAUAUUUGCAUAGGUGGUCUCCAUGAUUCAAACAGCUUGAAUGAAACUGCUGGGAUUUUAUCAUUAUUUUGAUAGGUAUAAUUAAAAAUUGGUUUGCUGCAGAAUUUCUAUGGUGGUAAUAAGAAUUUUUUUGUUUCCCAGAGAUGUGAGCACAUCAAACAGUUUGAGGUUUGCUGGAGCUUCCAGGAAGCACUCAGGCACAUUUUGUAUGCAUGGCUGGGGAUCAGCUUUGUUCUUGUUCUGUAUUCUUUUCAUUAUGAUCCUUUGUUAUUUGUUGCUUACAGAUAAUGAAAUUUCUGCACUAAAGGUGUCCCAUAGUAGGGUUUUUAUUUGCAGUUUAAUUCUGUUUGACAGCACAUGUUAAAACCCUAUUUGUAUUUUAUAGGACUGCAUUUUUCUUCUACUUCCAGCAGUUAUAAAUCCUAAAGGGAAUUAUUUAAUGCUUUUGAUUUAGUUAAUACUUUGCUAAAAAUACACAGAGAAACAUAAUAUUCAGUUUAUUUGUCUUUAUUAGUGAUUAAUCAGGCAAGCUGUUGGUCCCAGGUUUUCCUGCCCAUUGGGCCAUAAUAGAAACUCUUUUUCUUCUGAUUUUCUCAUUUAUUAGAACAAAUUCCUGCCUGAUUCUUCCUGUACCCCUGGGUCCAUCAGCUCUGUCUCUCUGCCAGGUUGUGUCCAGUAUUUCCCCAUCCCCACCUUAAAACAUUUAUGGAGGUGUUUGCAGUGGGGGCUUUUCCUUCCCUUUGCAGAGCUCCAGCUGGGAAGGAAUGUGAUGUAUUGUUGGCAUGUGGAACAUGAAAUCUGGCUGGAAUAUGAAAUAUUUCUGGCCUGUGAUGCAGUUUUUGCCACAGCUGGUGGCAGACAGGAGCCCAGUGCUGUUGGCAGCCUGGGAUGGGCACUGCAACGUUGACUUGGCAAUUUUUAAUGGAUUCAAGGGAAUAGUUUGCUGCAGGAUGUUUGCUUUGUUGUGGUUUGCUCUUUGUUGGAGAGGGCAAUUUAAUUUUCUUUUAAUGUAGGUGAAUUUGAAUGCUGGUGAAAGUUGAGAACUGCAGAAGCCUCAGAAUGUGAAAUCUGUGUUUUGUGAGAUCCACAGGAGUUUCUGGCAGCGCUGCAUCCAUGGGGCAGUUCUGGGGAAUUCAUGGGGUAGUUUUGCUUCCAUGCUGCUCAAGCCUUGGCCUCUCUUCUGAAAACCUUAAAAAAAAAUCCAGUUAGUGCCAGUUGUAUAACUGGGGGCUGUUUUGGUGUGGAAUUUGGGGAUUGGAUUGAAAUGCAGCAAAUUCCUUCUCACUCUGGUCCUUUCCACAUUGCUGCCUCUGAAUCCCAAAACCCAAGGGAGUUCCCACUCCCAGCCCAUCCUCAGUGGUCAGAGCUGCAGCUUCAUUUGUUCUCCAGCUGCCGCACCAUGAGAUCAUCACAUGCCACUCAAAUUGGCCAGAAAAGCUGAAAAUUCCCUUCAAAACAUGAUGCCUGUUAGAUUAAAAUAUUUCUUACUAAUGUCCUAUUCUUAGCUGAACUGAACAAACAGAGUUGUCUGUGAGUGUGCUGCCUUGUGUGAGCCCAGACCCCAGUGCAGUUGGGAGAUUCUGCCUCAGAUUCAGACCCUGCCAAAUCAUUUCUUGGUUUCAUUUAAAAAUAAAAAGGCUGUUUAGACAUUACAAUCCACAGAGGGGCUGAAAUCAGCGUGUCCUAAGCUGAAUACAAAUCACAGACAAAAAGGGUUUUGUUGGGAGGGUCACAAAUGGAACUGAUUACUGCUAGACAGUGUGGAUUUCCUUCUGGAGGAUGGAGCUGAUAGAAUUCCUUCCUGACAGCUAGAAAUUAUAAUUGAGUUGGGGUUUUUUUCUUAAAACCAAGCUUCAAAAUGAGUAAGAGGGAUGGAAUCCAAAUCCCUCUGCAGCUCUGCCUGUAAACCAGGGUUUUAAUGUGAAUAUCCAUCCAAGAGCCCAGAUCCUGGGGAGGAGCUGCUGCCCACGUCAGAGCUGUGGCUUUGUCAAGCACUGAACUCCUUGUGGAUCCAAGGAUCUCUUACAGUGUUGGAUUUUUGUAGGAGGAGGAGGAAGAGAAUUAAAGCUGCUCGUGCUGUGUUGCCUGGUGGUGUCUGGACUAUGGCUCCUAAAUCCCAGGAAGCUCAGAAGUGCAGAUGCCUGAGAUGCUGCCUGAAUUCACAUUGGAACUGAAUCACCCUGAGUCAUCUCGCCUCUGUUUUGUGGGGUUUUAAUAGAAGAAAAAUCACCUGGACACCCCAAACCUGUGUCCCUCUGCAGCCCCAACUGCAUGAAAUCACCUGGAUGUGGAUAAGAGCCUUCAAACCAGUGGGAAUUCUUUCACCUUGGGGUAUCCCCUCUGUGCCUCUGCAGCACUAGUGUACAGGAAUUGUCACAAAUCAUUUUACAUGGAAAAAAUAAAUCUGUUAAAGAACCACUCAGCCCCUGCAUGUGUUGGCUAGAGCAACCAAAAUCAACUUGAGAGAGCUUUUCCCCCAUUUGUGAUGCAGCUCAGAUUUUGUGCAGCUGAGUUAUAUGGAGAGCUCCAGGAAAAAAAAAAAAAGACUAUUUAGAGGGAUUAGGAAUUUUCAAGAAACUGGACCAUGGAAGUCAGAGAGUAACUGAAUGUGUUUACUUUACCUAAAUUGCCUGCAGGGAAAAUCCUCAGCUUCAACUCACAUGACCCAUUGUCCUGGUAUCAAGGUUAGUUCACUUAUUUCAUCACCCCUGAGGAGUGAAAGGUAACAAGAAAUGAGGGAACUGCUCUGGAAAUUCCUUCCCUCCUGCACAGGGACUGCCUGCAUCUCUGCUUUAUAUUGUCCCCAAAAAUGCCUUGAGAGGUGUUUGGGCAAUUUUCCUCUCAUGUCUGUGUGUGUCUGUGGAUGUACAUGGAGAAUGAGUGUUUUUAAAAUGAUAUUUUACACUCUUGAUUGAUACCCUGACCGUGCAUGGGCUGCAGGAGCCCUCAAAGGCAGGGAUGGAAAGGACCCUUUGUACCUGGUGCCCAUCUCUGUCCUCAGAGGAACCUUCCCCAAACAUCAGCAUUGUGCCCCAGCCACUGUUUGCAUGAAACAUCAUCAACAACCUUCAUUUUUUACAAUAUUAAUUUUGUCUAUUGAUCCAAGAACCUGUUUGUCUUUUUACUUACAGGAAACAGCCUAACUAAAUACAUGAAUCCUGAUUUCACUUUUA